GCAACUAAAUACACUUCCAUA
rnacentral:miRNA from 1 species